rnacentral:lncRNA from 1 species
GGAGCACUAAAUCCAAGCACCAGCCCACCCUUGCCCAUGGCCUUGAGUGGCUGGCUGGUGGCAGGCUUAGGCAGCAGGCCUUGAUUGCCAUUUCAUCAUUUCUGCCCAACCUCCCACAGGCAGGAUUUGCACCCAGAUGUGCCAGGAGUCCCCGAGGUGAGCAGCAAGUAUUCAGCUCUGGACAGAAGCCAGCUGAUGGCGGGCUUCCUACUUACUGGCGAAACUCACUUCAUCUUUAUGAGUCUAAUUCUCCUCGUCUAUGGAAUGGAUGUGGAAAUAGCUGCUUUUCAGAGAUGUGGUGAAGGUCAAAUGAAGUAGGAAGAAAACACACAAUCAUCCUUCAGUAUCUUGGGGAGUGGUCCCCGGGCCACAUGGACACCCAUAUCUGAGCUUGCUCAACCCCUUUAUAUAAAACGGUGUAGUGUUUGCUUACACUGCCCCCCCCCCCCACCGCCCCGAUUCUAACAAAUCUCUAGAUGACUUAUCGUAACUAAUACAACGUCAGUGCUAUGUAAAGAGUGUGUAUUGUUGGAGGCCAUAAUGAUAAGAAAACAAACUCUGGACAUGUUCAGAUACCACACCAUACCUGCAGAUGUCAAUUUUUUCUUUUUCUUUGGCAGUGCUGGGCUGGACCCAGGAUCUCGUGUGUGCUAGUAAGGCCUCCAUCACCGAGCCCCAGAUCACUGGUUUUCUUUUCUGAAUAUUUA